rnacentral:ncRNA from 1 species
UUUAUUAAGAGUUUGAUCCUGGCUCAGGAUGAACGCUGGCGGCGUGCUUAACACAUGCAAGUCGAGCGAACAAAGCGAUGUAAAGCCUUCGGGUGGAUCAUCGCGGCGUGAGCGGCGGACGGGUGAGUAACACGUGGGUAACCUGCCCUGUACACUGGGAUAACGCACCGAAAGGUGUGCUAAUACCGGAUAAAGUGAACCUUUCGCAUGGAAGGAUCACCAAAGCUCCGGCGGUACAGGAUGGACCCGCGUCCCAUUAGCUAGUUGGUGAGGUAACGGCUCACCAAGGCGACGAUGGGUAGCCGACCUGAGAGGGUGAUCGGCCACACUGGAACUGAGACACGGUCCAGACUCCUACGGGAGGCAGCAGUGGGGAAUAUUGCACAAUGGGCGAAAGCCUGAUGCAGCAACGCCGCGUGAGCGAUGAAGGCCUUCGGGUCGUAAAGCUCUGUCCUAAGGGAAGAUAAUGACGGUACCUUAGGAGGAAGCCCCGGCUAACUACGUGCCAGCAGCCGCGGUAAUACGUAGGGGGGCAAGCGUUAUCCGGAAUCACUGGGCGUAAAGGGUGCGUAGGCGGCCUGAUAAAGUCCGAGGUGAAAGGCUACGGCUUAACCGUAGGUAAGCCUUGGAAACUUAUCAGCUUGAGUACAGGGAGAGGAAAGUGGAAUUCCUAGUGUAGC